rnacentral:rRNA from 1 species
UUUGAAUGGGGUUGUAGCUGGCCUUUCAACGGGCAUGUGCACACCUCGCUUCAAUCCACUUACACCUGUGCACACUUUGUAGGUCGGCUUUAGGAACGGGUCUCUAACGGGGCUUGUUUCGGGCCUUCCUAUGUAUUAUUACAAACGUUUAAAGUCUAAAGAAUGUACUCGCGUCUAACGCAUUAUAUACAACUUUCAGCAACGGAUCUCUUGGCUCUCGCAUCGAUGAAGAACGCAGCGAAAUGCGAUAAGUAAUGUGAAUUGCAGAAUUCAGUGAAUCAUCGAAUCUUUGAACGCACCUUGCGCUCCUUGGUAUUCCGAGGAGCAUGCCUGUUUGAGUGUCAUGGAAUUAUCAACUCGUUUGUCUUUGUAUGAACGCAGUUGGAUUUGGAGGCUAUUGCCGGAUUGUAAUGAUUCGGCUCCUCUUGAAUGCAUUAGCUCGAACCUUUGCRGAUCAGCUUUUGGUGUGAUAAUUGUCUACGCCGCUAACUGAGACGCAUGAAUGGGAUCGGCUUAUAAUCGUCCUCUAACGGACAAYUUAUUAUGACUUCUGACCUCAAAUCAGGUAGGAUUACCCGCUGAACUUAAGCAUAUCAAUAAGCGGAGGAAAAGAAACUAACAAGGAUUCCCCUAGUAACUGCGAGUGAAGCGGGAAAAGCUCAAAUUUAAAAUCUGGCGGUCUUUGGCCGUCCGAGUUGUAGUCUGGAGAAGUGCUUUCCGCGCUGGACCGUGUACAAGUCUCUUGGAACAGAGCGUCAUAGAGGGUGAGAAUCCCGUCUUUGACACGGACUACCAGUGCUUUGUGAUGCGCUCUCAAAGAGUCGAGUUGUUUGGGAAUGCAGCUCAAAAUGGGUGGUAAAUUCCAUC